rnacentral:rRNA from 1 species
GAUGAACGCUGGCGGCGUGCCUAAUACAUGCAAGUCGAGCGAACGGACGAGAAGCUUGCUUCUCUGAUGUUAGCGGCGGACGGGUGAGUAACACGUGGAUAACCUACCUAUAAGACUGGGAUAACUUCGGGAAACCGUAGCUAAUACCGGAUAAUAUUUUGAACCGCAUGGUUCAAAAGUGAAAGACGGUCUUGCUGUCACUUAUAGAUGGAUCCGCGCUGCAUUAGCUAGUUGGUAAGGUAACGGCUUACCAAGGCAACGAUGCAUAGCCGACCUGAGAGGGUGAUCGGCCACACUGGAACUGAGACACGGUCCAGACUCCUACGGGAGGCAGCAGUAGGGAAUCUUCCGCAAUGGGCGAAAGCCUGACGGAGCAACGCCGCGUGAGUGAUGAAGGUCUUCGGAUCGUAAAACUCCGUUAUUAGGGAAGAACAUAUGUGUAAGUAACUGUGCACAUCUUGACGGUACCUAAUCAGAAAGCCACGGCUAACUACGUG